rnacentral:sRNA from 1 species
UUGACCCAAAGACAACUUGCUUACAGGAAUGCCUUAUCACCACCUUCCAGGAAGCCUACUUUGUUUCAGAAAGUUUUGAAGAAGCCAAAGAAAAGAUGAGGUACAGAUUGGCAAUAUGGCCCGUACAAGCACUGUUUUGGGUGCUGUUGUUCCAGAAACACAACUGAUGUCUCCUGGGGGUGGUAAGACAACAGGAAAAGUGCAAAAGAAAUAAAGCAUCAGGUUGAUGAUUAAGGGAUUUCACUGGUAAUACCAAUCCAGAAGCAGUUGCUGUAUACAAUGAUGGAAUGGCCUACUGAAGACUCAUUUAUGACAGCAUUGCUCACUCUUUGGGUCCAUGCUGCUUUUAUGAACUGUAACACUUGCCGUGAAGAUCUGCAGCUUCACUCCUGAGCCCAGCGAGACCACGAGCCCACCGGGAGGAACGCACAACUCCAGACGCGCUGCCUUAAGAGCUGUAACACUCACAGCGAAGGUCUGCAGCUUCACUCCUGAGCCCAGCGAGACCACGAGGCCACCAGGAGGAACGAACAACUCCAGACGCGCUGCCUUAAGAGCUGUAACACUCACCGCAAAUGUCUGCAGCUUCACUCCUGAGCCAGCGAGACCACGAACCCACCAGAAGGAAGAAACUCCAAACACAUCUGAACAUCAGAAGGGGCAGACUCCAGACGCGCCACCUUAAGAGCUGUUAUAACACUCACCGCGAGGGUCCGCGGCUUCAUUCUUCAAGUCAGUGAGACCAAGAACCCACCAAUUCCGGACACAAUUUCACUGAAGAA